rnacentral:rRNA from 1 species
GACUUAACUGACGCUAAGGAACGAAAGCUAGGGUAGCGAAAGGGAUUAGAGACCCCUGUAGUCCUAGCUGUAAACGAUGGACACUAGCUGUCCCCGCUUUUGCGGGGGUGGCGCAAGCUAACGCGUUAAGUGUCCCGCCUGGGGAGUACGGUCGCAAGACUAAAACUCAAAGGAAUUGACGGGGCAGAGCACAACCAGCGUGCCAUGUGGUUUAAUUCGAUACGAAACGAUGAACCUUACCUAGACUUGACAUCCCGAUCGUAUUCCGUGGAAACACGGGAGUCAGUUUGCUGGAUCGAUGACAGCUGUUGCAUGGUUGUCGUCAGUUCGUGUCGUGAGGCGUCCUCUUAAGUGAGGUAACGAACGCAACCCCUGUCGUAUGUUAAAUAUCCAUACGAGACUGCUCUGGUUUGUACCGGGGAGGAAGGAGGGGACGACGUCAAAUCAGCAUGACGCUUACGUCUAGGGCUACACACAUGGUGUAAUGGGUAAGACAACGGGUCGCGACAGGGUAACCUUGAGCUAAUCCUAAAAACUUACCCUCAGUUCGGAUUGAGGGCUGCAACCCGCCCUCAUGAAGGGGAGUUGGUAGUAAUCGCAGGUCAGCUAUACUGCGGUGAAUACGUUCUCUCUGCUUGUACACACCGCCCGUCAAGUCAACAAAAUCAGCAGUGCCCGAAGUCGGUAUUCCUAACCAAGCUUGCUUGGAUGGGACCGCCUAAGGUAAGGUUGGUGAUGGGGGCUAAGUCGUAACAAGGUAACCGUA